AUUCCAUGAUGUGGGCACUAUCUGAUCAAAUCCUUGAAUCUUUCCCAUGCAUCAUACAAAGAUUCACUCUCUAACUGAUAGAAAUUAUUGAUCUCUCCUCUCAACUU